rnacentral:tRNA from 1 species
CGGAAAGUAGCUUAGUUUGGUAAAGCGCUACGUUCGGGACGUAGAGACCGUGAGUUCAAAUCUCAUCUUUCCGA